UACAGAGGGUGCAAGCGUUGUUCGGAAUUAUUGGGCGUAAAGGGCGCGUAGGCGGGUUUGCAAGUCUGCGGUGAAAGCCUCCAGCUUAACUGGAGAAGUGCCGUGGAUACUGCGGAUCUCGAGGAGGGUAGGGGCAUCUGGAACGGUCGGUGGAGCGGUGAAAUGCGUUGAUAUCGACCGGAACUCCGGUGGCGAAGGCGAGGUGCUGGACCCUUUCUGACGCUGAGGCGCGAAAGCCAGGGGAGCGAACGGG
rnacentral:rRNA from 1 species